UACGUAGGGUGCAAGCGUUGUCCGGAAUUAUUGGGCGUAAAGAGCUCGUAGGCGGUUUGUCGCGUCUGCUGUGAAAACUCGGGGCUUAACUCCGGGCCUGCAGUGGGUACGGGCAGACUAGAGUGCGGUAGGGGAGACUGGAAUUCCUGGUGUAGCGGUGAAAUGCGCAGAUAUCAGGAGGAACACCAAUAGCGAAGGCAGCUCGCUGGGACGGUACUGACGCUAAGGCGCGAAAGCGUGGGGAGCGAACGAGG
rnacentral:rRNA from 1 species